UACGUAGGGGGCGAGCGUUGUCCGGAUUUAUUGGGCGUAAAGAGCGUGUAGGCGGCCAGGUAGGUCUGCUGUGAAAACUCGAGGCUCAACCUCGAGACGUCGGCGGAAACCAUCUGGCUAGAGUCCGGAAGAGGAGAGUGGAAUUCCUGGUGUAGCGGUGAAAUGCGCAGAUAUCAGGAGGAACACCGGUGGCGAAGGCGGGUCUCUGGGCAGUAACUGACGCUGAGGAGCGAAAGCGUGGGGAGCGAACAGG
rnacentral:rRNA from 1 species